AGUGAACGCUGGCGGCAGGCCUAACACAUGCAAGUCGAACGGCAGCACAGUAAGAGCUUGCUCUUACGGGUGGCGAGUGGCGGAUGGGUGCGGAAUACCUCGCAAUCUACUUUUUCGAGGGGGAUAACGCAGGGGAUCUUACGCCAUAACCGCAUACGGCGUACGGGUGAAAGCAGGGGAUCUUCCGCUCUUGCGCGAGUGUAUGACGCGAUGUCGGAUUAGCUAGUUGGCGGGGUAAAGGCCCACCAAGGCGACGAUCCGUAGCUGGUCUGAGAGGAUGAUCAGCCACACUGGAACUGAGACACGGUCCAGACUCCUACGGGAGGCAGCAGUGGGGAAUAUUGGACAAUGGGCGCAAGCCUGAUCCAGCCAUACCGCGUGUGUGAAGAAGGCCUUCGGGUUGUAAAGCCCUUUUGGUGGGAAAGAAAAGCAGCAAGUUAAUACCUCGCUGUUCUGACGGUACCAAAAGAAUAAGCACCGGCUAACUUCGUG
rnacentral:rRNA from 1 species